CCGAUCGCCGUAGGUCGCCGCGAUGCUCGCCGGCGUGGAGCACCAGGCCGGCGUGCUUCGGGUCCGCGCGAGCGGCUUUAGCUGCCGUUGUGGGCGGAUGCUGAGGGCCGCGGCAGCCUCCACCGCUCCACAGACACGCCUCCAUCCGCACGAUCCUCGCCGUCGUCGAGCUGACCGUCGUCGCCGCCAUCCGAAGCUUCCGUCCCCGAGCUGACCAUACUCGACGGCGACGGAGUCUGUCGUCGCCGAGUUGUGUCUCCUCCGCCGCACACCUUCACGUCCGUCGCAACGGCACGGCCAUUUUCAGGCGAUAGCAUCGCCCCUCGCCUCGGCGCCCACCUCGGCCGCGUCUUCUCCGAGCACGGCGUCCAUGGGCGACGGGACCCUCCUCGUCUUCUCCGACUUAUCGGACACCGGGGAACUCAUGCGCUGCGCGUUCACCCGGAGGCGACGGCGCCAUCCUGCGUGGCGGCACCCUCCACGGCCAUGUCUUCUCCUUGCACGGUGACCAGGCGCUGCCCAUGGGCAACGGGACCAUCCUGGUCGUCUUCUCCGGCCGCUCGGGCGUUCAGAAACUCGUCUGCUGCACAUGACCUCUCGAAGGACAGGUUCAGUUUUAUGUUACUAGCUCAAAACUGAUGGUGAUUCACCUUUUUUUAGCUCAAUCCAUAUGAUGCAAUUUUUGUAUGAUUCAUUUUCUCAGUCAUUCAUGGAUUGCAGAAACUUUUUUACUUUCAUGUGAUGUUAAUUGAACAAUUUUGCAUUGCAUUUUUUUAGAAAUUAUAGUUGAUGGAAAGGCAAAAUAUGCUUUUGCCAUGCAAACACAAAAUAUGUUGCCAUGUUGCCUCAACUUUUGUUGUCCCCAAUUUAAAUUAUUUCUUACCAUGGCAAAAUAUCUAAUAUCUUGCCAUGGAAACACAAAGUAUGUUGCCAUGUUGAAAUCAUGUUUUCAUUGCCAUGGAAAUAGAACAUAGUAUUUUUUGCCAUGUUUCUGAAGUUGUUAGUACUAUUUCCAAGGCAAUUUUAUAGAUGUUGUUCUCAAUAGAGUAAAUUUUGCCAUGGCAAAUUAAACUAAAACUUGCCAUGUGAAUAAAAUUAUUUUUGCCAUGUCAAAUUAAACUAAAACUUGCCAUGUGAAUAAAAGUGUUUUUGCCAUGACAAAUUAAACUAAAACUUGACAUGUGCAUAAAAGUAUUUUGCCAUGGCAAAAAUUAGAGUAAAUUUUGUCAUGGCAAAUUAAAGAAAACUUGCCAUGUGAAUAAAAGUAUUUUUGCCAUGGCAAAAAUAGAGUAAAUUUUGCCACUGCAAAUUAAAAUAAAACUUGCCAUGUGAAUAGAAGUAUUUUUGCCAUGGUAAAAAUAGAGUAAAGUUUGCCAUGGCAAAUUAAACUAAAACUUGCCAUGUGCAUAAAAGUAUUUUUGCCAUGGAAAAAAUUAGAGUAAAUUUUGCCAUGGCAAAUUAAACUAAAACUUGCCAUGUGCAUAGAAGUUGGCAAAACUAGAGUACAUUUUUCCAUGGUAAAUUAAACUAAAAUUUGCCAUGUGCAUAAAAGUAUUUUUUGCAAUGGCAAAAAUAGAGUAAAUUUUGCCAUGAAAAAUUAAAAUAAGAUUUUCCAUGUGAAUUAAAGUAUUUUUGCCAUAGAAAAAUUGUGUAAUUUUUGCUAUGGGAAUUUUCCAGUUUUUGAUUUCCUAGUAUGUGUGCAAUUGCUAGCCUUUUGAAUACUUGGGUCUUUGUGCGUACGCUGGGCCUUUUUUAGCCCACUUUCUUUAAACUGCACGUAUUGACAAGUUACUCGUGAGUGAGGGGUUCGGGCUGGUGCGUUUCUGCACCGAACGAUUCUGUUCGGUAGAGUGUUGUCCCAGAUCCGAACGUUUCGUUCGGUCUGGCGCUUGCCCAGGCCGAACGUUCGGUCCUUAACGAGGUCCAUAAUAAUAAGUAUGUUAUGCAAAAAUUGUUAUUUUGUGUCUUCUUUAACUUUUCUUGCGCCUUUAGUAACUUAGUAUUAUAGACCUAUCUAAUUAGCUCACGGACUAAGCCCAUUCCUAAUUCUAAUCAUCGCAUGCGAGCACUAAUCUCAAUUACAUGCAUGCAGCGUGGCCCGGCACCACUCUUCUAUUUUUUCCUUUUUUUUUUCUCCUCCUUCAUCACAACCCAACCUGCGUCGUUCGUCUUCAUCCUCUGGACCGGCUCAGGCAACGAGCCAGCGCCGCACCCCACUCGCGCCCGACCUCUCCCCUUCUCUCCCUCUCCACCAAACCACUCUGAACGGAUUCCUCACGCCCUCCCUAACUCCUGCUCUUCCGUUACCCGCACUGAAACGCGCCCUAAUGGCCAUUUGAACACCAGAAACAGCCGCUAUGAAGACACCAUAAUUCCGACGACGCCCUACGUCGUUCCAACCUCGCCUCCAUCCUAUAAAAGACCCCCUCCCUCGCAACUCUCUUCUUGCCCGAACCACUCUCCUGAGGGAGAUUAUACCCCUCCCCAACGUCGUGAAUUGCUCACCGAAGUUGCUUGCCACCGCUGCGGUUCAUGGAAGAUUCCGGCGAGUCCAAGGUGAAAGAGACAUUCUAAUUCUUCCAUCCUUCAUAUCUCGACCUUGCGCAUCAUCCUAAAAUGUCGAUUCUUUGGUUUUCUAAGCCGGAGUACGUUGUUCGCGAGUCCUGCAUCAGGCCGGAGCUCCGCCCAACUCCGGCGACGCGCCACGGUCACUGGAGGACGGGCCCGAGCACGUUUUGGUAUCCAACAAGUUUCCCUCGACUUCCACUACUCCGUCCACCUCUCUUUCGUUGCCGAAGACCUCCGCAUCGUCGAGCGAGAGCAUGCUAAGGCUAUGUUCGGUUAUCCCCACCCCCGUCGGGAUAGGGUCGAAACCCCGCCGAUCCCCGUGGGUUUCUCCCCGGCUGGGGUCGGAUCCCGGUCUGGCUUAUAACAGCCUUCGGUUAGACCUGGCCGGGAUUAGUUCCCUCCCAAACCCCGUAGAAAUCGUCGGGAAACGACCCACGCGUCACACCUCGUGGAAGCAAACCUCGUCUCUCUGUCUCUUGCGAAACGGCACGCUCUCUCUCGCCUGACCUCUCUCGUGUCGUGGCGGCGCCGGAGAGUGCAGCAGCAGUGCUAUUGAAUGAGACUGCAGCGGCGUGCUCCCUCCCCCCACCCUCCUCCCACCCACCUGUCCAACUGGCGGCACCGCAUCUCGUUGCAGCGGCAAGCUCGACGGCGACCCGGACCUCACCUAACUGACGGCGGCGACGGCGAACGACGCCAAGGCUUCCAGAUUUGGCGGACGGCGGCCCUCUCCUUCCGACUUCCGUCGGUCCCAGGACCCAGAGGUCCCUCCGCUUCCUCCGUCGGCCGUGCGGGUACGGCCCUGCCUUCCGGCUGUAGUUCGGCGUCCGCGGUGGCGCACUUCCGCUGCUCCGAUUGUCCAGUUCGUAGUCUGGGCGCUAGAAGCCCCAAAAGAUCCAUCUACUGAUCGUAAUUUCAUCUGCUGAUCGUAAUUUCAUCUACUGGUCUACAACUCUGUACAGGGUAAUUUCUCUGCUUUUUUUUUAACAAACCACAAGUUUUUUUUAGCUUCUAAUGGGCAUGCUUCUGAUUCCUACGUCUUGUAAUUGCAAUUGAUUGCUUUCACUAAUGAACAAGACCUGUAUUACUCUUGUUGCGCUGCUCUGAUUUUGUAUACUGCUGUAUACUUCAAAGUGUUUUUGCUGGUGGGUUUAACCGAACAGAGAUUAGGUGAGAGGGAUUAAUCCCUCUAGCGGAAUGAUUCCACGUGGGGGUUGGGUGGCGACACCAAAACCCUGCAGGUAUUAGAUCCACUAGUGGAUAUAAUCUCUUGGAACCGAACAUAGCCUAAGGAAGAAAACGAAGGGGUAUCCUCCGGUAGAAAGAACUGACACGUGGCGAGACAUUUUCUUAUUCCCGUUUCUAUUACAGAAAAUUAGCCCAACUUAGAAAAAUCACAUCUUUUAAACCGCCUAUCCAAAUUUGACAAAUAAGAUAUCCCUGGAUAGCUGUGGACCUCUAGUUUAUAAUAAAAAUUAGAAAUCUCUUUUUUACGCAAACUAAAAUUUCGUUCUGAUUUAAAUGAGAAUUUGAGUAUUUUUACUAUAUAUCUUUUAUUCUGUAAAUGAUAUUAAAAAGUUAUAUAUAUGAAAAUUGGUCCUUGGAACCAUACCAAUCUUCUAGAACUCACAGAAUAAUCUUUCAGUUAGUUUUAGUCAUUGUUUUAGCAAAAUACCCUAAUUUUGAUCUUCUUUGAUCAUCUAGUAAUAAACUCAUUAGACUAAAAUUUGUUUCAUUGUUAAAACCAUUAGAUUGAUCCGUAGAAAACCUCGCUGGUUAGUUUUUGUAAUCAUAAAAAAAUUAGAGUUAGAAAUUAUAAAUUAGCUUUUUAACAUGAACUGUAUGCCAUCCAUAGGAACUGAUCAAAUUGCAUAAACUCGAAUCAUAUGGAUAUACUUGCUAGGGUUGUUUGACUUGAAUUGUGUGUUGGGUGGUUUUGCUUGAGCACUUGUUAUGUGAAUAUUUGAUGUGUCUAGUGUCUUACUUACGUACUUUAUUGUGUUAGAUUGCGACGAGUGCGAAGGCGAAUUUUACGAGGAGAUAGAACCGUGUUGCUGCGAGUUAGAAGGCAAGUUGCAACCUUGACCACAUUUACUCCAUGUUUUUAUCUUGCAUUGAUUUUCAAAUCAAGUAGUAUGCAUGUGUAUGGUUUUUAUGUUACUAUUUUUGCAAAUAUUUUGCUAGUUGUAACGCCCUAGGAUCCAAUGUUAUUGCACUAUAUGCUUAGCCAUGCUUUUAGUUGGGGUGGACCAAAUACCAAAAUUUUGAAAAUACAAACUUGUUCCCUUUGGAAGAAUGAUUUAGAAAAUCUUUUGAAAAAUAAAAUAAUACUAUUUUCAACUUCUACUUCCUGGGCGGAACGGAUGGACGGGGACAUAUACAAGUGAUUGCGCCCAUCAGGGUCUUGCAGUGAAUGCGCUCGAUUGGGGACGUGCACACGGAUUUGUUGGGGACUGUCGUGCAGGAGAAUGAGAUCUUCCAAGUACAGUGUGAAGUAGCUUCAAGUACAUCCACUUGCGCUAUGGGCUCUUGCCUAGCUUAGUACUAAUGGAAAACCCUUACCUCAGGACCGCCAUCAGAGAGAGGCUUUCAUUGCCUAAGUUGCGGGCGGCUUGGUCAGGUAUAGGGGGCUGUUACGAAAAGGUUUCGUCGUAAUUUUCUCCCAGUCAUGCACCGAAGUGUGUUAUGACAAAUGGGGUUGGUUGCGUCAUGUGGGAAAUGUGUACGACCUCGGUAGAGGGUCUAACCUAAUUGAUUAGUUGUGCCCUCAGUUAUGGGCAAUUUUGAACAACUAAAGACUUGGACUGAAGAAGAAUCUCCCUUCUCUUUUCUCAAUGCUAUUUUUUACAAAAGGGUUAGGUGGAAGUUAAACACGAGGGGGUGUUGUAGGAUCGAAAGUAUGUCUAGAGUGGGAUGAUUAGACUACUUGACAAAAUAAAAAUCUAACAUUUUCCCAAUUUUAGUUGUAGGUAGAUUUUAGCAAUUAGCAUAAGUCAAGCAAUCAAUCUACACAUGCAAUUCUAAGAGUGUAGCAGCGGAAAGUAAAACAUUGCAUAUGAAGGUAAAAUGAAGGGUUUGGAGAGUGCAAACGCAAUGGAGACACGGAAAUUUUUUGCGUGGUUCCGAUAAGUGGUGCUAUUGUACAUCCACGUUGAUGGAGACUUCAACUCACGAAGGGUAAGGGUUGCGCGAGUGCACGAAGGGCUCCACCCACGAAGGGUUCAUGAAGAAGCAACCUUGUCUAUCUCAUCAUGGCAGUCGCCCACGAAGGACUUGCCUCACUCGGGUAGAUCUUCAUGAAGUAGGCGAUCUCCUUGCCCUUACAAACUUCUUGGUUCAACUCCACAACUUGAUGGAGGCUCCCAAGCGACACCUAACCAAUCUAGGAGACACCACUUCCCAAAAGGUAAUAGAUGGUCUGUUGAUGAUGAAAUCCUUGCUCUUGUGUCCCCAACACUCAACUCUCUCUCUCACACAGAUUUGGAUAUGGUGGAAAGAUGAUUUGAGUGGAAAGCAACUUGGGGAAGGCUAGAAAUCAAGAUUCUUGUGGUAAGAUUGAAAUAUCUUGAUCUCAACACAUGAGUAGGUGGUUCUUUCUCAGAAAAUGUAUGGUGGAAGUGUAGGCAUAUUCUAAUGGCUCUCUCGAAAAGGGGUGGAGGAGUAUAUAUAGCCUCCACACAAAAUCCAACUGUUACACACAUUUGACCCAUCUCGGCGAGACCGAAUAGCUAAACUCGAUGGGACCGAUUAGUUCAAAAUGUGAACGCUAGGAAUCUCGGUGGGACCGAAUGGAACAACUCGGUGGGACCGAUGUGCUAGGGCUUUAGGGCAAAGCUCAUCUCGGCGGCAUUGAUUGCAUCAAAUCGGUGAGACCGAAGUGAAGCGAUAGGGCAACAAAGAAUUGGUCAAGCCAUCUCGGUGAGACCGAUUGCUAUUUCGGUAAGACCGAAAUAAAUGCAAUUGAUAUCACGGAGUUGGCAAGGCCAUCUCGAUGGGGCCGAGAUCCGUAUCGGUGUGACCAAACUAUUAGGGUUUCUAGUUGUGGUUAUGUCAUAUGAACUCGGUGGCGCCGGAUAGAAAGAAUCAGUGGGGCCAAGUUGGAGUUUAGGGUUUUGACAUAUUUGGAUGGAGAAAGUGGUUGAGAUUUAGGAGAAAUAUCAGUAAGCAUUUGAGCAAGUAAGCCAUUAAGCAACACCUUAUCCCCUUUUAAUAGUAUUGGCUUUCCUAUGGACUCAAUGUGAUUUUGGAUCACUAAAACAAAUAUGAAGAUUCUUAAGCUUUAGCCAAUGUGUGUCCUUAGAAUUUUGAGGGGUCCACAUUUCAAGUCCAUGCCAUGUCAUUCAUUGAACUUCCUGAAAUAAUCAUCAUGAAUGGAUAUUAGUUCAAUGAGCUAUAUGUUGUUAUGAAUUACCAAAACCACCCGGGGAUUAGUUGCACUUUCAAUCUCCCCCUUUUUGGUAAUUGAUGACAACAUAUAGAUCAAAGCUUCGAUAAAUGAUAAUAUAAGUGAAAUGCAUCGUCGUUUUGAGAAGUAUGUGAUAAGCAAGAGCUUUCCCUAAAUUUGUGCAUUAUUUAAAAUUUGCGUUUGAAUGCAAAUGCACAAUCGAUUAGGAUCAUGGGUCACUCUUCCAUGUCGCAUACAUCUUGGUGGAGCGCACAAAAUGAUAAGAGUAGAAUAACAUGCACACAUCACCAAAAAUAAGUGAUUGAUCAUACACAAACAAUCAUAAAGAUAGACAUGUAAGCACACAUUAAGCAUAGUAUGAUCAAACACAUGAUCACACAAGGUAUCUCAUGAGCAUAACACAAAUGUAGCAUCAACCGGAUGAAAGUAGCAAGGCAAAAGACUCUCUCUCUCUCUCGAAGCCUAUGGUCUGUAAACUUUCUCCCCCUUUGGCAAUAAGUUACCAAAAAGUUUGAAAACAUAUAGUGCUAUACGACACUCUAGGCACGAUCUUUGGGAGCUCCUAAAGGGGUCUUCUGGCUUGUUGCUCCAGUGUGCGUAGAUGGCGUUGAGAGAACUAUGUCUGCAAAUACUUCAGCUAAAGUCUGUUGAGCAGGAGGAGUUGAAAAUGGUGGUGGCACUAUAGCAAUGGUGGCAGGAGCAAAGUGAGCAGGCCUCAUGUCUGCAACUGGCUCAGCAGUAGACCUCUGUGCCCUUUGCACUGUCUGGAAUCUUUCUGUGGUAGGUCUGUCAUCUCUAUCCUCAGCAUCAUCUCGCAACUUCUCAACAAUGGUUUGAAUCUCUAUGAUCUUGGCAUCAAGAUUAUACAUCUUGUCUUCAACAAUCCGCUCUAGGCUCUCCUGAUUCUUAGUCAAGUUGGCCAGGCUCUUCUCAAUCCUUAGAGUUGCUUCUACUAGAUAUGUGAGUUGAUCUUGCUUGGUCUUGAGAUUUACAAUUGAUGCAUCUGGAGCACUUGCUACUAUUGCUGUUUUGGCAGCCUUUGCCUUCUCAGACUUCUCCUAGGCCUCAACUUAUGUUGGAUGUGAAGCAUCCAUCACCACUUCAUUAUCAUCAAAUUUUGCCCUAACGGGUAGAUGCUCUCUGUCAAGUAGAUAUGUGCAAGUUCCAACCUUGGAAUUGAUCAACAUCUGAAUAUGUGGUGCAUAUCCACAUGACCUCUUUUAGUCUGCAGCUGUCCUCUUGACUAUCUCAACAAUCAAACUCAUAACCCUGAACUUCUAUGACAUGUCAAAUACAUGCAACAGGUUGAUGGAAUGGCCACGGAUCAUUCUAUCAUCUACGGACUUGGGAAACAAGGUAUGCCUCAAGAUGUAGUUGGUGGUGGCCAAACCAGCAAGCAAGUAGUAUAUAGAACCAAACUUGUGAGUCUCAAGUGUUUUGUCAGGAAUUGGCUUGUACAUAUGAGGCACAGUGUUAUGAUCCAUCCUUGUUUUGCCAUAAGCAUCUAUGUCUUUCUCUCCUUCUAGGACGUUGAUGAGAUCAGCCCACUCCGAGAUCAACUUUGAUACGGGGUUAACCCAGUGUAGGCAGAUCUUUCAUGAUUGGAGUGGAUUCCUUGAAGAACACGACGAACACGAUGAACACGGGGAAGAACGAAGACAAAUCACAAGGAGAAACACUCAAGAACAAGUCCAAUCACACAUUCACUAGACAAUCAAACACACAAGAUCCACAAGGUACAUGAAAAACAAAGGAAAAGAUACAAGGUAAAGUUCAUCUCCAUGAGGAGGUCUUGAUGUUAUCCUAGAUGGAUCUUCCCGUGAGGGGUCUUGAUGAUAUCCCGCAGGAUCUUCUCACAUGGAGGUCAUGAAUUCCAUGGGAGUGGUAGUCUCUCUCUCUCUCUCAAGAGGAGAAGGUAGGAGCAAAGCUCACAUACGAAUGAGCUAUCACUUUGCUAAGCCUAGAAAGGAUGAGGGGGAGGUCUAGUUAUAGUCUAAGCCACGAAGGGGUAAGUGUGAGAGGGGUACAAGGCCAAAGGCCCGGCCGCACACUGGACGAUGUUGGACAUCCGAGAGACGUUGUUCGUCUAGUGGCUCGCAGGGGUCCAGACGUCUGGAGGGCGUCAGGCUUCCAAUGUUUCUUCUCUGGACAGGUGGCACCGGUCAUCCGGUCGGCGUCGGUCGUCCGGGCGGCGUCGGUCGUCUGGUCGCUGGGACUUGUCGAAUGUCCGGUGUUUGUCGGUCGUCCGGGUGCUGUAGAGUGUUGGACAUCCAGUGUUCGUCGAUCGUCCGGUCCCUAUAGUCUCCGCAGCUCCAUCUUAUUCUGUCUUCGCUUCCACGCUUCUCUCGAGGAUGGUGUAGGCGUUCCUUAGCACUUGCACACCUUCUCGUCGUCCGUGAAGUUCCGACAAUACCUAUGCAUGCACACGAGUGGAGUGUCAAGUAGUAUACCAUCCUCGAGGGGGUCAAGUGAGCAUGUGUACAGGAGAUGAUUCACCUUUAUGCAUGUGAAAUAGAUGUCGCACGUGUCACUUGCCAAACGGACUCUUGACAUGGUGAUGACCUUAGGAUGCUCCGCAUCAUCUCCCCCCCCCCCUGGAAAGAUCCGACCUCGGAUCGAAAACCAAAUCACCAUGGGAAAGAGAUGGCUUCGCCGUGUAGAUCUGGACGUUCACCAAACACUCAUCAUCUAGUAGCUUGAAAUGGGCACUCUCCAAUGUCGCACCAUCUUGUGAUUCCUUCAAAAGGAGCAAAUACAACAAACACUUGGAAAAACAAAUGUGGUUAGCGUUAGUGCAAAACCAAGCAUUCAAGAGGUGAUUCACCAAACAAGUGCCAUCAUCAAGUAUAGCAUAUGGUUUGACAAAGGAUUGUGACAUGGCAUGUAAGCACAUCAAUUGAGCACAAGCAAAUAUAUCAUGGGGACAAGCAUGUAAAUGUGAGGUAGUGAUACAAAUAUAUGUGAAAAGAGAAUAAGCAUCAACCUCAAGCGCAUGGCAAGCAUUCACAAAUUGCUCAAUGAAAGGUCUAUGGUAGGCAUAAAAAUUAUUCACAACACCAAAUAAGAUGAUAUAUCUAAACACAUGUGUCAUGUGCAAGACAAUCCAAGCAUAACGUGCAUAGGGUGUAGAGAAUAUAGUGUGGCACUCAACAUGAUAGGAAGAGCAACUGUUCAUCAUGUGUGAGGCAAUCAAGUCAAUCCAAGAAAUGGGACAUGGCAUAUGUGAAGAAAUGAUAUUGGUGCAACCAACCAUAUGAUAGUAGCAAGUAGUCCAAGAAUUGGAUGCAACACACAAGGUGUAUAUCUCAUGGGGCAUGGAAAUGUGGCAAUCUUGGGUGAAAGCAAUAUCUCGAACAUGCGUGCAAAUGGUGCAAGCAACACAUGAAGUAUGAUCCACAAUAUCCAAUCUCAAGAAGGAUGCCACCUUGAAAGCGUGUCCUUGUGCAUUCUUCACAAUGCCAAAGUGGUAGAAAAUGUGGUGUAGAAGCAAGUUGUUGUAGAAUGUAUGAGGCUCGCUCUCAAGAGCUCGAAUGGUCAACUCACGUGAUGUUGUAGUCGACACGAGUCCAAGUAUCCUACACAUGCACAGAAUAAAACAAAGAAUGUAAGCGCAUGGUGGAUAAACACAUCAUCCAUCAUGAUGGUUCUCAUCUCUUGCACAUAAUCAUUAGUAGCACAAGUGCAUGAAGAAUAUGAUUCAACAAUCUUUAUGUUCAUGGCACGAUGCAUAUGGUGCAAAAAAGAAGGACAAGCAUGCUUCACAAGAAAUAUGUCAAAAUCUCCGAUCAUAUGUGAGAAUUCUAUGGGGGAAAUCUCAUUAACAAGACUAUAUGCAUUGUUGCACUCAAUACGUGUCAAAUAAUCUAGCAUGAUAGAGGCAACACAUGGAGAUAUAUGACAAGAAGCAAUAAUAAUCAUGUGCAAAGCAUGUAGAUGGUUGUCAUCAACCGCAUGAAACGUGCAAGUAUGAAUCAUGGGUGAUGCAACAAGGCAAGCAAUCAUAGUAAUCAAGUCAUGCAAACUAGUGAAGCGAAGAUGCAACACACUAGAGUAAAUGAUGGCAAUCAUGUCAUGUGAGCAAAUAAUAGGCAUAGACAAUGCAUAUGACAUAUCGCAAGCAUGAACACAAAGCAAGAUCAUAGUAUCAUCAUAGGACUGGGUCACAAAAGGAACAUGGAAAUAACAAGCAAUAUCUUCACCAAGCUUGCAAAUACACAUACAAGAACUAGAAUCAAUCAUCAUGCGUAAUGCAAAGCAUGGGUCACACAUGCAUGGCAAAGACUUUGGAAUGGGCAUAUCAUGCAAAGUGAACAUGGCAAGAUGGGCAUAGAAAAUGUAAUGGACGAUAACCCAUAACCAUGUGAGGGCCAUGUAGAAGAAUUGUGCGAAGUUGUUGCGCAAUGGGAACGGUGUGAAAUACAAUCCACGUGAUCCCAAGUCAUCGUUGCUCUCUAGAGCUCGUUUUUUCAACUCAUGGGAUUGUGAGGUUGACACCAUGGGUGCGUACAUAAAAAAGACACAAACCAAAGAAAUAGUGUGUGUGGUAAAUGUACACAUUGUCCAUCAUGAUGUGUAUGUGCACAUGUGAGUUAGCACAAGAUAAGCUUCGCUUAAAAAAAAUUGAUGCAUGGUAUAAGAACAUGUCAUCCAUCAUGAAAGAAUAGUUCUUGUGUAUAACAUGAUGGGGACGCAAAUUUAGCAUACAAGUAUAUGGCACAUCAAUAGAAUGUUUAUUCAUGGGGAGCAUAUUGAACACACAAUUAUUGGAAUCAUGGAAUGGAUGGGAUGGAUCAAAAUAUCCAAAAAUGUAUGAGGAAACUAUGUGGGUCUCCUCAUGAGCAAUAUCGGAAACAUCAUAUCGAGAAAAUGGACAACAUCCAAAACAAUGCAUAUCCGAAGCUAGGUAGUCAUGGGAUGGCAUAUGAGAUAAAUGAUGCAAAGGGGCAUAUCAAUAUCAUCGCAAGAAAAACAAAUUCUAAUAACCAUGGGCUUGUCAUCUAUGUCAUAUCUGCAAAUUGGGUUUAUUUUGAUGGCAUAUGCAUAGUCACUACGAUGAGAUUGCAAAUAUGACAUAUGGUUGAUCUCAUGCAUAGCAUAUGACAAGUCAAGUGGAUUAUCAAACAUGAUGUGACCUAGAGAAUUAUCACAAGAAAUCCUAUGUAACAUGGCAUCACAACUAAUAGACUCCACAUGAGGAUCAUCAUACUCAUCAUAAAGGGUCAAAUCAUUGCAUGGGGAAAUCAUUGCAUGGGGCAAUCUCAUUAACAAGACUAUAUGCAUUGUUGCACUCAAUACGUGUCAAAUAAUCUAGCAUGAUAGAGGCAACACAUGGAGAUAUAUGACAAGAAGCAAUAACAAUCAUGUGCAAAGCAUGUAGAUGGUUGUCAUCAACCGCAUGAAACGUGCAAGUAUGAAACAUGGGUGAUGCAACAAGGCAAGCAAUCAUAGUAAUCAAGUCAUGCAAACUAGUGGAGCGAAGAUGCAACACACUAGAGUAAAUGAUGGCAAUCAUGUCAUGUGAGCAAAUAAUAGGCAUAGACAAUGCAUAUGACAUAUCGCAAGCAUGAACACAAAGCAAGAUCAUAGUAUCAUCAUAAGAAUGGGUCACAAAAGAAACAUGGAAAUAACAAGCAAUAUCUUCAUCAAGCUUGCAAAUACACAUAAAAGAAAUAGAAUCAAUCAUCAUGCGUAAUGCAAAGCAUGGGUCACACAUGCAUGGCAAAGGCUUUGGAAUGGGCAUAUCAUGCAAAGUGAACACGACAAGAUGGGCAUAGAAAAUGUAAUGGACAAUAACCCAUAACCAUGUGAGGGCCAUGUAGAAGAAAUGUGCGAAGUUGUUGCACAAUGGGAACGGUGUGAAAUACAAUCCACGUGAUGCCAAGUCAUCGUUGCUCUCUAGAGCUCGUUUUUUCAACUCAUGGGAUUAUGAGGUUGACAUCAUGGGUACGUACACAAAAAAGACACAAACCAAAGAAAUAGUGUGUGUGGUAAAUGUACACAUUGUCCAUCAUGAUGUGUAUGUGCACAUGUGAGUUAGCACAAGAUAAGCUUCGCUUAAAAAAAUUUGAUGCAUGGUACAAGAACAUGUCAUCCAUCAUGAAAGAAUAGUUCUUGUGUAUAAUAUGAUGGGGACGCAAAUUUAGCAUACAAGUAUAUGGCACAUCAAUAGAAUGUUUAUUCAUGGGGAGCAUAUUGAACACACAAUUAUUGGAAUCAUGGAAUGGAUGGGAUGGAUCAAAAUAUCCAAAAAUGUAUGAGGAAACUAUGUGGGUCUCCUCAUGAGCAAUAUCGGAAACAUCAUAUCGAGAAAAUGGACAACAUCCAAAACAAUGCAUAUCCGAAUCUAGGUAGUCAUGGGAUGGCAUAUGAGAUAAAUGAUGCAAAGGGGCAUAUCAAUAUCAUCGCAAGAAAAACAAAUUCUAAUAACCAUGGACUUGUCAUCUAUGUCAUAUCUGCAAAUUGGGUUUAUUUUGAUGGCAUAUGCAUAGUCACUACGAUGAGAUUGCAAAUAUGACAUAUGGUUGAUCUCAUGCAUAGCAUAUGACAAGUCAAAUGGAUUAUCAAACAUGAUGUGACCUAGAGAAUUAUCACAAAAAAUCCUAUGUAACAUGGCAUCACAACUAAUAGACUCCACAUGAGGAUCAUCAUACUCAUCAUAAAGGGUCAAAUCAUUGCAUGGGGAAAUCAUUGCAUGGGGAAAUCUCAUUAACAAGACUAUAUGCAUUGUUGCACUCAAUACGUGUCAAAUAAUCUAGCAUGAUAGAGGCAACACAUGGAGAUAUAUGACAAGAAGCAAUAACAAUCAUGUGCAAAGCAUGUAGAUGAUUGUCAUCAACCGCAUGAAACGUGCAAGUAUGAAUCAUGGGUGAUGCAACAAGGCAAGCAAUCAUAGUAAUCAAGUCAUGAAAACUAGUGGAGCGAAAAUGCAACACACUAGAGUAAAUGAUGGCAAUCAUGUCAUGUGAGCAAAUAAUAGGCAUAGACAAUGCAUAUGACAUAUCGCAAGCAUGAACACAAAGCAAGAUCAUAGUAUCAUCAUAGGAAUGGGUCACAAAAGGAACAUGGAAAUAACAAGCAAUAUCUUCACCAAGCUUGCAAAUACACAUACAAGAACUAGAAUCAAUCAUCAUGCGUAAUGCAAAGCAUGGGUCACACAUGCAUGGCAAAGGCUUUGGAAUGGGCAUAUCAUGCAAAGUGAACAUGGCAAGAUAGGCAUAGAAAAUGUAAUUGACAAUAACCCAUAACCAUGUGAGGGCCAUGUAGAAGAAAUGUGCGAAGUUGUUGCGCAAUGGGAACGGUGUGAAAUACAAUCCACGUGAUCCCAAGUCAUCGUUGCUCUCUAGAGCUCGUUUUUUCAACUCAUGGGAUUGUGAGGUUGACAUCAUGGGUACGUACACAAAAAAGACACAAACCAAAGAAAUAGUAUGUGUGGUAAAUGUACACAUUGUCCAUCAUGAUGUGUAUGUGCACAUGUGAGUUAGCACAAGAUAAGCUUCGCUUAAAAAAAUUUGAUGCAUGGUAUAAGAACAUGUCAUCCAUCAUGAAAGAAUAGUUCUUGUGUAUAACAUGAUGGGGACGCAAAUUUAGCAUACAAGUAUAUGGCACAUCAAUAGAAUGUUUAUUCAUGGGGAGCAUAUUGAACACACAAUUAUUGGAAUCAUGGAAUGGAUGGGAUGGAUCAAAAUAUCCAAAAAUGUAUGAGGAAACUAUGUGGGUCUCCUCAUGAGCAAUAUCGGAAACAUCAUAUCGAGAAAAUGGACAACAUCCAAAACAAUGCAUAUCCGAAGCUAGGUAGUCAUGGGAUGGCAUAUGAGAUAAAUGAUGCAAAGGGGCAUAUCAAUAUCAUCGCAAGAAAAACAAAUUCUAAUAACCAUGGGCUUGUCAUCUAUGUCAUAUGUGCAAAUUGGGUUUAUUUUGAUGGCAUAUGCAUAGUCACUACGAUGAGAUUGCAAAUAUGACAUAUGGUUGAUCUCAUGCAUAGCAUAUGACAAGUCAAGUGGAUUAUCAAACAUGAUGUGACCUAGAGAAUUAUCACAAGAAAUCCUAUGUAACAUGGCAUCACAACUAAUAGACUCCACAUGAGGAUCAUCAUACUCAUCAUAAAGGGUCAAAUCAUUGCAUGGGGAAAUCAUACUAGCAUGAAGCAUGGUACUAGGUGGAUCAACAUCAUGCAAGCAAUCAAUGUCAAGGAUGUCCACUAGUGGGACUAGAGCAUCACCUUCACCUAUGUUACCUUUUCCAUUCCACUCAAGUGGUGUAGGUGAGGUGGGAAAGACCAAAUGCUGGUCAUAUUCAUCUUGAUGGAACCAUGUGGGCGGUGCAUCAUAUUCCACCAUGGCCAUCGUCUUGUCCAAAGGAAGGACGAAGUCGUCGAGUAUCGGCGUGUCAUCAUAUAUGGGACCUACCACCAAAUGAGAGGACACAGUAGAGGUAGAGGUUAGGUCGUUAGAAAUCAAAAUGGCCUCACAUGUCCUAUCAACUAUCACACUCUCUCUAUGUGGUGGCUCACUCACUUCCUCACAAUAGGUGCACUCAAACUCACAUAUGGUGGGGUCACUCAUCUCACUCAAGUGGUGGGGGUUGUGGCUCUCCUCACAUGGGAAUUGGGGCAACUCAUCAUACAUGGGGCUAGUGGUGAAGUCGCUAUCAUUGUCAAUAUGGUGGCACAAGUCACUGAAGUCAUCAUACGUCGUCGUGGUCGAAGGGAAAAUCCCAUGCUCAACCAUCUCAUUAUCGUCGUCGUGGAUGAAGGCCGAAGAUGGCACAUCAUCACUAUCCUCCAUGACCGAAGGGAAAAUACCAUGCUCGAUCAUCUCAUCACCGGCGUCGUGGAUGAAGGCCGAAGAUGGCACAUCAUCACUCUCGCCUCCUAAGAUGGAAGCAUCAUCCUUGCUCGCCACCGUGUCACUCGCCUCCAAAGCAUGUUCCUUCAUUGGCUCCAUAGUCGUAGUCAUCGCCGCACCAUCUUGAAAAAGAGUCGAAGUAGACUCGGCACCAUCAACGCCACAAAGAGGUAUGGUGGUGAAGUUGAACUUGGGAGCAUCGUCUUGGAGCUCGUUGGGCUUGGACAUCUUGGUGGUACUAUCCUCAUGCUCGUUGUCGUAGAGCUUGGUGGCCACGAAGUGUGCUUGGGGUGGAAAAGCCUUUGCCUUCAUGAGUUCUUGUUCCGCCUUGAGAGCACCAAUGUAGUUGUCGUCGAGGGACUUUUAGUUCUCGAGGAAGAUAGUCUUGGAGAUGUCGUUGUUCAAUCCAUCAUGAAGUAUAACUUAAUUGAAAUGGGUUGUCCACGUCAGCUCGUCACAAGGCGUUCUUCAUCUCCUUGAAGUACGCGUCGAUGGACUUGGAUCCUUGGAUGGUGUUCUCCAAUUGGCAUAAAAGUUGUUCCGUGUAGGUGGGAGGCAUGAAGUCUCGCCGCAUAGAUCUCUUCGUCUUGGGCCAACUCAUGUCGUAUCUCUCCAAAGGUGUGUGAAGCCACCAUGUCGACGCGUAGUCGUAUAAGUUUCUUGUGGCGCACUUCACUUGAUCUUUGGGAGGAACUUGAUGUAGCUUGAGGUAGUCGUCCAUCAAGCGCUCCCACUCGAGAUACUCCUCGGGUUCUAGAGUCCCAUAGAAAGGAAUCUCGUGGUCGGUGUCGAGGUCGUAGUAGCUCGUGGAAGUCGCGGACUUGAGCUUGGGGAGCUUCUCUUGAGAUGCUUGUGGGCGAAUAUGCCAUAUGUCCGUAGGCGAAGAUGCCUUGAAGUCGCUUAGCAAAGAUGCCAAGGGAGAUGGUGAAGCCGUAGAGCCGUGGUUGGUGUUGAGCUCUUGACCAUCACGUCCUUGUCGGUGGUGGUGUCGAUACUGAUGUGAUCUUGCCGGAGAUGGUAGCUCAAAAGCAUGUGCACUAGAGCGUCUUCUCGAAGACGAGGAAGACCACUUGUAGGCCUUGAUGAGGGAUUUGAUAUCCUCCAUUUGAGCAUCCAUCUUCGCGUCAAAGUUGUUGUUCGUGGCAUUGAACUCGUUGUUGUUGUUGUUGUAUACCAAAAGAGGUGUGCUUUGCCUAUCCAUCACAAGACUCGAGAAGAAGUGAGUAGGAAAUGAGAUAAAACAAUACCAACUUACCUUUUCCCAAAGUUGAGGAUGUAUCCCGUUUCACUCAAGGUGAAUGAAAGAAUAGUGGAAUUGGUACCGGACUUGUUCACUCACACCUAUCAAGUAAAGCUUAUGGUGGAGCACGUUGAGGAUAGUGGCACAAAAAAUUGAUGCAAAAUGUUAGCAAGAGUUAAUAAUGUUGAAAGAGAUUCACAAAUUCGCAAGUGAAACAAGUAGACCAAUAGCAAUGAAUGGCACACGAGAACGCAUACAUGGAUGGAUAAAUGGGGUCGUGCAACCUAGAAAUGAGCACAAAAUGUGGAGUCCACGGAAAACGCUUGCGUUGCACAACUCAAGAGUGAUGCUAGCACGAUCGCUCAAUAGGCGGAUACGACACUUGUGCACAAGCUAUAAGAUGCAAAAUGGAUAAACUUUCUAUCCCAAGUAUGCUAUAUAUGUAUGAUGUUCCAGUGGUAUAAUCCAAGAUGAUCGGAUAUAACAAUCUUAUGUGCAAUGUGGUAUGAUGCUAUGGCUCUUGCUUACAAGCUUCUUUGCUCACUCUUUUUCUUUUGCUUAAAAUCUUAUUCUUUUUUUUGGAUAUGGCCACUUAUGUGAAAUGCACAAACCAAGAUACCAAUUAUGUAUAUGCGGGAACAAUCUUGUGACACAAGGGAUGGUACUAUGAUACCAAGACGAUACCAAUAUGAUAUGGUAUGUAUGCAAUGGAAGGUGCAGAUCGAUGACCACUAAUGUGCACAAGUAACAUUGUCGGCAAUAUUUAAUGGCUAGUCCUGAUAGGCAAGUGAUGCAAAAUGGGCUAGGGGUUAACAAUGCAAAGGCAAAGGGAAUAUACAAUGAUGUCGUCGAGGUUACCAUCCUUAUGUAUGAUCACAAGCUUGUGGCGAUGAUGAGUGGCGGUGUUCUUGAUGUAGAACCUUUCCUAAUUAGCUGAAACACCUUAGGAAACGGAAAAACCGCAAACUCAAAAUCUGAAAUGUCAAAUAUCAAAUGGUGGUAGUGGAAUGCGGUGGUGGAUUUGCACUCGGCAAUGCAGAAGUGGUGUGAUGGGAUAUGAGAGUCUAGGUUGAAGUGACCGUCCCUAAGUAGCCGAAACACCUUAGGAGACUCAAAUCACUACUCAAGCAACCAUUAAUGCUAUGGUGAACAAAAUGGGUUAGGUUGCAGAAGUCGGUGGUGGCUAUGCGGAUGAUAUGAUGAAAGCCCUAGGAAAAGAUGCCAAAUUUCCAAAAAUUUGAUGGAGUCAAAUUAUGAUGGUGGUAUUUUUGUGGGAUGGGGGAUGUCAAUAGCUUCAAAACGAGCUAAAGACCGUCAAAAUCAGAGUUAAGAUGAAUUAGUUAUGGUCGAAACAAAAAAUCAGCUGAAGUUGCUAACUACAGGUGUCGGACGUCCGAGACUUGUCGGAUGUCCGGUAGUCGGUUGUCCGGAAGGUCCGGAAAUUCGUGAUUUCAGCUUUGUUCGGUGGUUCUGGUCGUCCAGUAAAGGUCGGACUUCCAGUGUCUCGAAGGGCUCCGGACGUCCAGUAAAUGUCGGUCGUCUGGUGGGUCGGGGUCAACUCGAGAUUCGAGAUUCGAGACGCGAUUUUGGGCAGAAAUUGAGGAUUUGGGGGUCAAAAUUGGAGAGAUUUCGUGGAUGGAAAGUGGAGAAACUUGUGGAGAUACUAGAUCCACUCAAAAACAAGCAAAUCCAUGGAUCAAAAUCAACAAAACAUCAUCAAACCAAGAAAUCAUAAAAAAUUGGGGCUAUUUUUUGUGGGGAUUUACGAAAUUUAGGACGAAAUCACACAAAAGAAGACUAGAAAAUGGAGGGAAGGACUCCAAAUACGUGAUCAACAUGGCUCAUGAUACUAUGGUACGGGGAUAACCCGGUGUAGGCCGAUCUUUCACGAUUGGAGUGGGUUCCCUCGGAGAACACAAUGAAUACGAUGAACACGGGGAAGAACGGAGAAAAAUCACAAGGGAAAGCACUCAAGAACAAGUCCAAUCACACAUCCACCAGACAAUCAAACACACAAGAUCCACAAGGUACAUGAACAACAAAGGGAAAUAUACACGGUAAAGUUCAUCUCCAUGAGAAGGUGUUGAUGAUAUCCUAGACGGAUCUUCCCGUGAGGGGUCUUGAUGAUAUCCCGCAGGAUCUUCUCACAUGGAGGUCUUGAACUGCAUGGGAGUGGUAGUCUCUUUCUCUCUCAAGUGGAGAAGGUAGGAGCAAAGCUCACAUACAAAUGAGCUAUCACUUUGCUAACCCUAGAAAGGAUGAGGGGAGGUCUAUUUAUAGUCUAAGCCACGAAGGGGUAAGUGGGAGAGGGGUACAAGGCCAAAGGCCCGGCUGCGCACUGGCCAGCGUCGGAUGUCCGAGAGACAUCGGUCGUCCGGUGUCUCACGGGGUCCGGACGUCCGGAUGGCGUCAAACUUUCGAUUUUUCUUCUCUGCACAGGUGGCACCGGUCGUCCGGUCAGCGUCGGUCGUCCGGUCGCUGGGACUUGUCGGACGCCGGCUGUUCGUCGGUCGUCCAGGCGUUGUAUUGUGUCGGACGUCCGAUAGACUCCACAGCUCCGUCUUCUUCCAUCUUUGCUUCCACGCUUCCCUUGCCGAUGGUGUAGGCAUUCCUUGGCGCUUGCACUCCUUCUCGUCGUCCGUGAAGCUCCAACAAUACCUAUGCAUGCACACGAGUGGAGCGUCAAGUAGUAUACCAUCCUCGAAGGGGUUAAGUGAGCAUGUGUAAAGGAGAUGAUCCACCUUUAUGCAUGUGAAGCAGAUAUCGCAUGUGUCACUUGCCAAACGAACUCUUGACAUGGUAAUGACCUUAGGAUGCUCUGCAUCAAACUUGCUCCUAUGACUUGUUCUGGCUGUCAUUGACAUCAGACAUCUUUGCAAACUGACCUUGUGAAUAGAUAAGUAUAGGUAGAGUAGAUGAGUAUCAUAAAAAGCAGCUUGUUUUGCAAAAAAAUUGAGUCAAAAUCUUAGUUUUAGUUUUCUGUGGAAAGCAUUUCGGAGCUACUGAUAUGAAAAUCUUGGUGACACCAAAGGACAUAACAGAGUCUAAGCAUACAACAUCAGUCGGACCGAGUUGCAGUUCGGUGACUCCGAUAUGCUAGGGUUCACAGAGAAAUCGCUUUCGGUCUCAUCGAUCAGUAUGCUUUGGUCAGACCGAGUUCUACUUAGUGCAAUUGCCAGGGCCAAUCGGUGGGACCUAAAACUCCAUUUCGGUCGGUCCGAGAUGAGCUCGGCGGAAACCUAACCCUAAGAUUUUUCAUCGAAUCUAGUCUAAAGGAUUUUUUGUGUGGAUAGAAGGUUCUCAUUCGUGGCAGGAAUCCAGGCAUUUGACUUUGUGCAAACAAUCAGAAGGGGAAAUAGGCACAAAGCGGUCGAACCAUAGUAUAACUCGAUGACGGUUCUCUACGGCAGCAAUGGCGAAGAGGAAUCCCGUGGACAGCGGCAAUGGCGAAGAGGAAUCUUGUGGACAGCGGCAGAGACCUGCGGCGACGGCGCACAGGCGGAGAUGACGAUGAUCCGGAGACUAAGGGGCAGCAGUGCUGGGGCACGGGCUCGUGCGGUUUGAAGGACUUUUUUUCAAUCGUACGGGUACGUGGAGUAUAUAUACCCAGACAUUGUCAGUGGCACCGAAUCGAAUGUCUCGGUGGCACCGAGAUGCAAAAUUGCAUGCAGUUACUACAACUCGGUGAGACCGAGUCGUUCUACUCGGUAGCACCAAGAUGAAAACCUAGAUCAAUCUAGUGGUUUUGGUGGGACCGAAUAUGAGUGUGUUGGUCUGACCAAAAUUCACAAGAAGGUUUUGGAAGGCAGCCCUUGACGGAUUGGUGGCUCCGAGUGCUCCUCACCCAGAGGGUUCGAAAAAGACUUGUUCAAAGUUUUGUGAUGUAUCAUUAAUAGAGUUUCAGAAGGGAAAAAGCAUCGAUAGCUGGAGGAGGUUCUUAGGCAUUCUUCUCCAUCCAUUUGGCCAAUCAAAACCAGAAAUGGAUGUCCUCGAAGGGGGAAGUUAAGCAACCAACAUGCUCACUCAAUAAGAUAGUAAAUGAAAUAUGUGACAAAGCAUGCACAAACACUUGUAGCAUCUAUCAAGCAAUUGGCGAUGACUAGGUCAUCAAUAUAUGAGUAUAUUGAUUGAGGAGUCAAAUGAGAACAAUUGAUCGUAGGUCAUACUCAUUGUUUAAGCACAAGUGGGGUUACCACUUUUACAUAAAGCAUUGAUGUAUUCACACCAUUAGAGUUGCUUUAGCUCAAUUCUUAGAGCAAAGCUCCCUCGAGAUGUGAUAUCCCUCCUAAGAGGGAUGAACUAACCUUGGGUUUUGUCGAUGAUGACUUCAUAUAGAUGUUGAAGAUGUGGAUGCCCAAUGUUGAUGUAUAUCUCUUGGAGCAAUCCAUUGAAGUGUUGCACUUUCAAUACCUACAUGGGUUAGUCCCACAAGGAACAUACAAGGAUAUCCAUAGACAUAGAGUGAAAAAAUUACAUAAAUGAUGAUGUCCAUGAAAGCACAAGGUUACCUUGUCCCUUGUCUUACAAACAAGAGGGUUUGUGACUCCAUGAACUAGUGCAAGAUAUGAAAGUUGAUUGCACAAGUCCUUGCCAAAAUGAAUAUGUGUGAAGUAUGUUGGCGGAGUCACCCUAAAGAACACUCUAGUUCUUCUUCUUUGGGAUCCACAUCAACUUGAUGGGGAUUCUUGGAGUUGUAGUUGUACUUGAUGAUGUAGAGCUUGACGUAGUCUUGGGAACCCACUUGACCAUGGCCUAGGAGCUUCUUCAAUUGAUUCAAUCUCUUCUUGAAGCUUGUCCUUACCUUUUAUCUUGUGGUCUUGUGGUGGAAGAUCAUCUUGAGCUUGUGUUCCCUUGAAAGAAGUAGGGUCAUACUUAUCUUGUUGACGAACAAGCUUUGUCUUGGGGUAUUGGUCUUCUUCCCACUCAACUCCAUUGGCAUUGAAUUUCCGUUCAAAACCAACACCUUGAUUCUUCCAGUGCCUUCCUUGCUUGCGUACAAUUUCCUCAAAUUGCUUACUUUCUGCAAGGCUCUUGUAAACACCUUUCACUAUAAUUCCCUUCAAUAAGCUAUUUUCUCACUCAAGUAUAACUUGGCUAAGAGAAUCAUUAGUGGAAUCAAGAGAACUACUAGAAGCAACAAUAUUGGAUUUAACAUGAUUAUUUUUACUACUAGAGGAAGAAUCUUUCUAGAUCUUAUUGCUAGAUUUUACUUGUGGCAUAUAAGUAGACAAGAGGAGACGUUUGGCAGGAUAAGAAGAGAUCUUCUUUUGAAAAUCAUCAUUGAUAGCUUUUAGUAACUCAUGCCCUUGCUCUAAAUUUAACUUCUCGAAGCGUAGCUUCUCAUGAGUCCUUUGGAGCUCUCUAUGAUCCUCUAGAGUUGUUUCAUGAGCUAACUUAAGAGUGUUUAGUUCUUUAGUUAGAUGCUCAAUCUCCUUCUUAUCAUUGUCAUUCAUUUCAUCUUGAUUAGCAUGAUUACGAGCCAGUUCAUCAUAGUUUUCAUCAAUAGUGUUGUCAACAAGUAAAUCAUCAUCACCUAGCAUAUCAUCUUCAUCACUAUUCAAAUCAACAUACUCGAGGUGUGAUACCUUAGGGCCUUUAGCCAUGAAGCAUCCUCCAAUUCCUUCAUUUGGUGAGUCAAAUAUUUCGUAGGAGUUGGAUGACAAAAGUGCAAGACCGACAACACCUUCAUCUUGAGUGUAUUCGGAGUCGGAGUGAUAGCUUCUCUCGGAGUAGUUGUCAGAGUCGGAACCAGAUACCCAUUCACCAACGUGAGCUUGAUGUCUUCAUCUUGUAUAGCUCUUUGAUGACUUGUCCUUUCUUUCCGAAUCCUUGCUUCUACUAGAGGGUCUUCAUUCAUAACGAUCAUCUCUACUCCUCUCUCUUGGAGGUGAUUCAUCUCUUCUACUCCUUUUUGGUGAAUCUUCUCUUUUCUUGUAGGAAGCCGUACACUUGGAGUAGUGUACGGGUCUUCCACAACUGUAGCAAUUACGACCACGACUAGAAGAUCUUUUGUCAUUUUAGGACCAUGACUUGGAGCUUCUCUCUUUGCUUCUAUUCUUGUAGAUCUUGUUGAAGUUCUUCACCAUUAAGCUCAAUUGUUUAUUGGAGACUUGCUUCUUGCUUGAUGUUGUAGGAGCAUCACUUGAAUCUUUGUAAGCACCACUUGACUUGUUGUGGAGCUCUUCCUUAUCAUUGAGUGACAUCUCAUGAGCAACAAUUCUACCAAUGACUUCCGUGGGCUUGAGAUCUUUGUAGUUGGCCAUCAUUUGGAUCAAGGUGCACACGGUAUCGUAUUUUCCAUCCAAGGAUCUUGGGAUCUUCUUGAUGAUGAAUUUGUCGGUCAUCUCUUCACUUCCUAAGCCGACAAUCUCAUUUGUGAUGAGAGCAAGCCUAGAAUACAUUUUGGUGACUCCUUCACCAUCCUUCAUCUUGAACUUGUCAAGUUGACUUUGAAGCACAUCCAACUUGGAUUUCUUGACGGACCCGGUACCUUCAUGCAUAUCAAUCAAAGUAUCCCAAAUUUCCUUUGCAUUCUCAAGACAACUGAUUUUGUUGAAUUUCCUUCGCAAGCUUGAGCAUUGUAUUGCAACAUCUUCAUUUCUUCUGUUGUCGCCUCACGAUCCGGCUCUUUUCCAUCCUCAAAGAAAUCACCUUGCAAGCCAAUACGCAUAACAGCCCAAAUAGUAGGGUUACAAGAAUAUGCAUUUUGAUCUUAUGCUUCCAACUAGCAAAAUUAGUACCAUUAAAGUAAGGGCCUCUAUGGUGGUAAUUUCCCUCGCUAGACGCCAUACUCUCCUAGGUUGUGAAACCCACGCUAUGAUCACCAAAGCUAUGAAAAUCAAGGCAAAAGGAGACCAAAGCUCUGAUACCACUUGUAGGAUCGAAAGUAUGUCUAGUGGGGAGUGAUUAGACUACUUGACCAAAUAAAAAUCUAACCUUUUCCCAAUUUUAGUUGUGGGUAGAUUUUAGCAAUUAGCACAAGUCAAGCAAUCAACCUACAGAUGCAAUUGUAAGAGUGUAGCAGCAGAAAGUAAAACAUUGCAUAUGAAGGUAAAGGGAAGGGUUUGGAGAGUGAAAACGCAAUGGAGACACGAAGAUUUUUGGCGUGGUUUCGAUAGAUGGUGCUAUCGUACAUCCACGUUCAUGGAGACUUUAACCCACGAAGGGUAAUGGUUGCGUGAGCCACGGAGGGCUCCACCCAUCAAGGAUCCACGAAGAAGCAACCUUGUCUAUCCCACCAUGGCCAUCGCCCAUGAAGGACUUGCCUCACUUGGUUAGAUGUUCAUGAAGUAGUCGAUCUCCUUGCUCUUACAAACUUCUUGGUUCAACUCCACAACUUGACAAAGGCUCCCAAGCAACACCUAACCAAUCUAGGAGACACCACUCUCCAAAAGGUAAUAGAUGGUGUGUUAAUGAUGGACUCCUUGCUCUUGUGCUUCAAAUGAUAGUCUCCCGAACACUCAACUCUCUCUCACGCAGAUUUGGAUAUGGCGGAAAGAUGAUUUGAGUGGAAAGCAACUUGGGGAAGGCUAGGAAUCAAGAUUCUUGUGGUAGGAUUGGAAUAUCCCGAUCUCAAACAUGAGUAGGUGGUUCUCUCUUAGAAAAUGUACGGUGGAAGUGUAGGCACGUUCUGAUGGCUCUCUCACAUAUGGAGAAGGGGGUGGAGGGGUAUAUAUAGCCUCCACACAAAAUCCAACCGUUACACACAUUUGACCCAUAUCGGUGAGACCGAAUUACUAAACUGGGACCGAUUAGUUCAAAAUGUGAACGUUAGGAAUCUCGGUGUGACCAACUGGACAACUCGGUGGGACCGAUGUGCUAGGGCUUUAGGGAAAACCUCAUCUCGGUGGCGUCGAUUGCAUCAACUUGGUGAGACCGAAGUGAAGCGAUAGGGCAACAAAGAAUUGAUCAAGCCAUCUCGGUGAGACCGAUUGCUAUUUCGGUAAGACCGAAAUAAGUGCAAUUGAUAACAGGGAGUUGGCAAGGCCAUCUCGGUGAGACCAGAUCUAUAUCGGGGUGACCGAACUGUUAGGGUUUUUAGUUGUGGCUAUGUAAUAUGAACUCGGUGCCGAGUUGGAGUUUAGGAUUUUGACAUUUGGAUGGAGAAAGUGGUUGAGGGUUUAGGAGUAAUAUCACUAAGCAUUUGAGCAAGCAAGCUAUUAAGCAACACCUUAUCCCCUUUUACUAGUAUUGGCUUUCCUAUGGACUCAAUGUGAUCUUGGAUCACUAAAACAAAGAUGAAGAGUCUUGAGCUUUAGCCAAUGUGUGUCCUUAGCAUUUUGAGGGGUCCACAUUUCUAGUCCAUGCCAUGCCAUUCAUUGAACUUCCUAAAAUAUUCAUCUUGAAUGGAUAUUAGUUCAAUGAGCUAUAUCUUGUUAUGAAUUACCAAAACCACCCGGGGAUUAGUUGCAUGUUCAGGUGUUUUACUUCAACCUUGCAAGCUUUUUUUGUGAACCUUGGUGCAGAGAUCCAAGUAUUCACUUAAGCUAAGUGAUUUAAACUUACAAAAAAAUUAUUUACCAAUCUAGCAUGAAUAUUUGUUAUCACUUUUGUUGCAACUUGCGAGUACAUUCAAAGUACUACCUGUACAUGUCAUGUGCAGAUGAUGAGUGACGAGAUAGGGCUAUGGAGCUACACUCAACUAGCCUUGUGGCGUUUGAUGGGCUCAGAAUUAUUAGUAUGUUAUUUGCUUUCGCUAUGUAACUCAGCCUUCAGCUAAGAGAGUACUAAUAAAUUGAACUUUG
rnacentral:lncRNA from 1 species